rnacentral:rRNA from 1 species
AGUGAACGCUGGCGGUAGGCCUAACACAUGCAAGUCGAACGGCAGCACAGUAAGAGCUUGCUCUUACGGGUGGCGAGUGGCGGACGGGUGAGGAAUACAUCGGAAUCUACUUUUUCGUGGGGGAUAACGUAGGGAAACUUACGCUAAUACCGCAUACGACCUACGGGUGAAAGCAGGGGAUCUUCGGACCUUGCGCGAUUGAAUGAGCCGAUGUCGGAUUAGCUAGUUGGCGGGGUAAAGGCCCACCAAGGCGACGAUCCGUAGCUGGUCUGAGAGGAUGAUCAGCCACACUGGAACUGAGACACGGUCCAGACUCCUACGGGAGGCAGCAGUGGGGAAUAUUGGACAAUGGGCGCAAGCCUGAUCCAGCCAUACCGCGGGGGUGAAGAAGGCCUUCGGGUUGUAAAGCCCUUUUGUUGGGAAAGAAAAGCAGCAGGUUAAGACCCCGCUGUUCGGACGGUACCCAAAGAAUAAGCACCGGCGAACUUCGU